ACACCUGCCACAAAGGGACACUGCAUUACUGGCUUGCCUGCCCUGGGGCUGAGGGAAGGACAACAGGCACCAAGCUCCUGGUCUCCCGACAGCGGGAAAACCUCUGAAAAGAUAAGCAGGCUAACUGAACAGCCAGAAGAGGCGUAUCCAAGAAACUGCCCAGGCCAAGGCAGCUGGUUUUCAAUCGCCUUGCGCGACUGAUUUCCGUGGCUGGGUUUAGGAAGAUCUGUUAGCACAGAAGUUCAUUAAACAGAACUGACCACUGAUGGAAUUCCAGCAGUCAAUGGACUUACACAAGGGAUAAGCAUGAGUCAUUACCAGUCUGCAGCUCCAUACCUCAAAACCCAGAGGAGCCUGUCCUUCUUGGCCUCCAAUCAUAGAAGGUUUUGUAUGAAAGAAGCAUCCUAAAUAAGAGAAUUCCUGUAGCUCUGAGAAGGACACAGAUUGCAUGGGGAUUUCCUGCUUUUGAGAUGUCUACCAUUUACCAGAAAUAUUAAGAACAGAUCCUCCUUCCAACCCUUCCUCUUCAUACAAGCUGUGUGUGCCACAGCCCUGCAUUUUGAAAAGCAUCGUGAAAAUAAAAAAACUGAGCCAAAACAAACCCUUGUGCAAAAUCUGCACAGAUACGCUGUGCACUCUUACAUGAUGAGCAUGGAAUUUAGGGCUGGUGGAAGGUGUAGAUUGGUAUGUUUCAUACUUAGAAAUGCUGCACAGAGUGUGUUAAGAUGCACCACAAAGAUAACUGCUUCAAACCAAAGUGACCUCCUUCUUACAAGAUCACUGACCUGUCCUUCAAUCCUCUCAUCACCUUCUGGAUAAGAAGAACGUUAUCUGUGAGUACAUUUUGGCGUUGCAGCUCCAAUACAGUGUCAUGAUGAUCCUGUUAAAACAAAGUGUGGAUAUGCCAGGUGAGCAGACACACCUAUGACCUCUGAAAACUGGGCACAUGGUCUGAAAGAGGCCCAAAAUCAGCAUGAUGGAGCAUAAUGUGAUUAAAAUGCAUUUAUGGGACUUCAGUAGGACGAGUACAUGCCACCUGAGCACACCUGGUCUGUCUAUAGCCAUAAACAAGCAGUCACACUGUUUUACCUGGGGGAAUGCUACAGGCAAGAUGGUUUCCUGCAACAGUGUACUGGUAUCCCAUUCUUUUUUAUGCUCCAGUACAUUGCACUGCACUGUUUCAGCUGCAAAGCUGGCACACAGGAACAGGAUCAGCCUCUCCUACACCAAACUGUCUCUAUUGAAUUAUUUUGCCUCCAGGAACAAAGAUACAGCUUCAGAUUCAAGACAACCGAGUCCUCCUAGGUCACCACUCUUGCACAAGCAGGUCAAGCUGUACUGUGAAGCAUCCAGUCUUUCAGGAGAAGAGACAAAACCCUGUCCUUUUUACUUACUUUAAGGAAUAU